rnacentral:misc_RNA from 1 species
GAUGAAGAACGUAGCGAAAUGCGAUACUUGGUGUGAAUUGCAGAAUCCCGUGAACCAUCGAGUCUUUGAACGCAAGUUGCGCCCGAAGCGAUUAGGCCGAGGGCACGCCUGCCGGGGCGUCACACGUCGUUGCCCCCCCAUCUACUCCUUCGGGAUUGCGGGGGGCGGAUGAUGGCCUCUCGUGCGCCUCGUCGCGCGGUUGGCCUAAAUGCCAAGUCCUCGGCGACGCACGCCACGACAAUCGGUGGUUGCGAAACCUCGGUUGCCUGUCGUGUGCGGUCGUCGCGCAUCGAGGGCUCGAAAAAAUUGCCGGGCUUCGGCUCGACUUUCAACGCGACCCCAGGUCAGGCGGGGUUACCCGCUGAAUUUAAGCAUAUCAAUAAGCGGAGGA